rnacentral:rRNA from 1 species
UACGAAGGGAGCUAGCGUUGUUCGGAAUCACUGGGCGUAAAGCGCACGUAGGCGGACGUGUCAGUCAGGGGUGAAAGCCCGGGGCUCAACCCCGGAAUUGCCUUUGAGACUGCAUCGCUAGAAUUGUGGAGAGGUAAGUGGAAUUCCGAGUGUAGAGGUGAAAUUCGUAGAUAUUCGGAAGAACACCAGUGGCGAAGGCGACUUACUGGACACAUAUUGACGCUGAGGUGCGAAAGCGUGGGGAGCAAACAGG